AAAGGGAGACCUAAUUCGGGUAGGAGACGAAAAAAAAGUAGUCCCUACCAAGAAUCAAUCCCAAAAGGUCGGAACGAGGUAUGUGGCUUUCAAACUAGGUUCUGGGUUCACAAAAGACCUGAAUCAGGAACAAGGGCUAUUAGCUCAGGUGGUUAGAGCGCACCCCUGAUAAGGGUGAGGUCCCUGGUUCGAGUCCAGGAUGGCCCACCUGCACAGGUGGCAAAAACAAGAGAAACGAGGAAUCAGCACCUUAUCUUACUUACAUAGUAAGAGAGAAUGCUGGCUCUGAGUAAAGAGUCCAGAAGAACCUUGAAAACUGCAUAGAGCUAGGUGAAAAAGCCAAAAAAGAAGACCGCAAG
rnacentral:tRNA from 1 species